UGGGGGAUAUUGCACAAUGGGCGAAAGCCUGAUGCAGCGACGCCGCGUGGGGGAUGAAGGCCUUCGGGUUGUAAACUUCUUUUGCUCUGAACAAGGCAUGCUUUUGGGGUGUGUUGAGUGUAGGGGUUGAUUAGCGCCGGCUAACUACGUGCCAGCAGCCGCGGUAAUACGUAGGGCGCGAGCGUUGUCCGGAAUUAUUGGGCGUAAAGGGCUUGUAGGUGGCUGGUUGCGUCUGUCGUGAAAGCUCAUGGCUUAACUGUGGGUUUGCGGUGGGUACGGGCUGGCUUGAGUGCAGUAGGGGAGGCUGGAAUUCCUGGUGUAGCGGUGGAAUGCGCAGAUAUCUGGAGGAACACCGAUGGCGAAGGCAGGUCACUGGGCCAUUACUGACGCUGAGGAGCGAAAGCAUGGGUAGCGAACAGG
rnacentral:rRNA from 1 species